AGCGAACGCUGGCGGCAUGCCUAACACAUGCAAGUCGAACGAGACCUUCGGGUCUAGUUGCGCACGGGUGCGUAACGCGGGGGAACCUGCCCGUAGGUUCGGAAUAACUCCCCGAAAGGGGUGCUAAUACCGGAUAAUGUCUUCGGACCAAAGAUUUGUCGCCUUUGGAUGAGCCCGCGUUGUUUUGGCUAGUUGGGAGGGUAAAAGCCUACCAAGGCGACGAUCCAUAGCUGGUCUGAGAGGAUGAGCAGCCACACUGGGACUGAGACACGGCCCAGACUCCUAGGGGAGGCAGCAGUGGGGAAUAUUGGACAAUGGGCGAAAGCCUGAUCCAGCAAUGCUGCGUGAGUGAUGAAGGCCUUAGGGUUGUAAAGCUCUUUUACCCGGGAUGAUAAUGACAGUACCGGGAGAAUAAGCACCGGCUAACUCCGUG
rnacentral:rRNA from 1 species